rnacentral:rRNA from 1 species
GACGAAGGAUGCAAGCGUUAUCCGGAUUCAUUGGGGUUAAAGGGUGCGUAGGCGGCCUAAUAAGUCAGUGGUGAAAUCUCCUCGCUUAACGAGGAAACUGCCAUUGAUACUGUUGGGCUUGAGUACAGAUGCUGUGGGCGGAAUAUGACAUGUAGUGGUGAAAUACAUAGAGAUGUCAUAGAACACCGAUUGCGAAGGCAGCUCACAAAACUGUAACUGACGCUGAGGCACGAAAGUGCGGGGAUCAAACAGG